rnacentral:piRNA from 1 species
UAAACUAUGCAGAUGUUAGUUUGAAAGCUA